GCGAUUGGGAAGAUCUAAGCAUGCGAGUCAUUGUAGCAUACAAGGCAGACGGCUCAGUAACGCGUAGUCAAUCUACCCUAUGGACGGGGAUAACCUCGGGAAACUGAGAAUAAUACCCGAUAGAACAUUAUGCCUGGAACGGUUUAUGUUUCAAAUGAUUUAUCGCCAUAGGAUGGGACUGCGGCCUAUCAGUUUGUUGGUGAGGUAAUGGCCCACCAAGACUAUUACAGGUACGGGCUCUGAGAGGAGUAGCCCGGAGAUGGGUACUGAGACACGGACCCAGGCCCUGUGGGGCGCAGCAGGCGAGAAAACUUUGCAAUGUGCGAAAGCACGACAAGGUUAAUCCGAGUGGUUUCUGCUAAAGAAACCUUUUGCUAGUCCUAGAAACACUAGUGAAUAAGGGGUGGGCAAGUUCUGGUGUCAGCCGCCGCGGUAAAACCAGCACCUCAAGUGGUCAGGAUGAUUAUUGGGCCUAAAGCAUCCGUAGCUCGUUUUGUAAGUUUUCGGUUAAAUCCAUACGCUCAACGUAUGGGCUGCCGGGAAUACUGCAUAACUAGGAAGUGGGAGAGGUAGACGGUACUCGGUAGGAAGGGGUAAAAUCCUUUGAUCUAUUGAUGACCACCUGUGGCGAAGGCGGUCUACCAGAACACGUUCGACGGUGAGGGAUGAAAGCUGGGGGAGCAAACCGGAUUAGAUACCCGGGUAGUCCCAGCUGUAAACUAUGCAAACUCAGUGAUGCAUUGGCUUGUGGCCAAUGCAGUGCUGCAGGGAAGCCGUUAAGUUUGCCGCCUGGGAAGUACGUACGCAAGUAUGAAACUUAAAGGAAUUGGCGGGGGAGCACCACAAGGGGUGAAGCCUGCGGUUCAAUUGGAGUCAACGCCGGGAAUC
rnacentral:rRNA from 1 species